GAUGAACGCUAGCGGCAGGCCUAAUACAUGCAAGUCGAGGGGUAGAGUUAGCUUGCUAACUUGAGACCGGCGCACGGGUGCGUAACGCGUAUGCAACCUACCUUUAUCUGGGGGAUAGCCCGAAGAAAUUCGGAUUAACACCGCAUAAAAUCACAGUAUCGCAUGAUACAAUGAUCAAAUAUUUAUAGGAUAAAGAUGGGCAUGCGUGUCAUUAGUUAGUUGGCGGGUAACGGCCCACCAAGACCACGAUGACUAGGGGAUCUGAGAGGAUGACCCCCACACUGGUACUGAGACACGGACCAGACUCCUACGGGAGCAGCAGUAAGAAUAUUGGUCAAUGGAGGCGACUCUGAACCAGCCAUGCCGCGUGCAGGAAGACGGCCCUCUGGGUUGUAAACUGCUUUUAUUCGGGAAUAAACCUAUCUACGUGUAGAUAGCUGAAUGUACCGAAGGAAUAAGGAUCGGCUAACUCCGUGCCAGCAGCCGCGGUAAU
rnacentral:rRNA from 1 species